rnacentral:rRNA from 2 species
GACUCUCGACAACGGAUAUCUCGGCUCUCGCAUCGAUAAAGAACGUAGUGAAAUGCGAUACUUGGUGUGAAUUGCAGAAUCCCGUGAACCAUCGAGUCUUUGAACGCAAGUUGCGCCCGAAGCCGUCAGGCCGAGGGCACGUCUGCCUGGGCGUC